CGGCGCGCCGCCGCUAUGAAUUCCGCCGAGCAGACCGUUACGUGGCUCAUUACCUUGGGGGUGCUGGAGUCGCCCAAGAAAACCAUCUCGGACCCGGAGGGCUUCCUGCAGGCGUCUCUGAAGGAUGGGGUGGUCCUCUGCAGGCUGCUGGAGCGCCUGCUGCCCGGGACUAUCGAGAAAGUCUACCCGGAGCCCCGGAGCGAGGGCGAGUGCCUGAGCAACAUCCGCGAGUUCCUGCGAGGCUGCGGGGCGUCCCUGCGCCUGGAGACGUUUGAUGCAAACGACUUGUAUCAGGGGCAGAAUUUCAACAAGGUCCUCAGCUCCUUAGUGACUCUAAAUAAAGUUACAGCAGACAUCGGCCUGGGAAGUGACUCCGUGUGUGCCCGGCCCUCAUCUCACCGGAUAAAGUCCUUCGACUCCCUGGGAUCCCAGCCUUCGCACUGCCGGACUUCAAAAUUGUUCCAGGGCCAGUACCGGAGCUUGGACAUGACGGAUAACAGCAGCAGUCAGCUAGUGGUACGAGCCAAGUUUAACUUCCAGCAGACAAAUGAAGACGAGCUCUCCUUCUCGAAAGGAGAUGUCAUCCACGUCACGCGAGUGGAGGAGGGGGGCUGGUGGGAGGGCACGCACAACGGCAGGACCGGCUGGUUCCCCAGCAACUACGUGCGCGAGGUCAAGUCCAGCGAAAAGCCCGUGUCACCCAAAUCCGGAGCCUUGAAGAGCCCUCCCAAAGGAUUUGAUACGACUGCCAUUAACAAAAGCUAUUAUAAUGUGGUGCUACAGAAUAUUUUGGAAACAGAAAAUGAAUAUUCUAAAGAACUUCAGACUGUGCUUUCAGCCUAUCUACGGCCACUGCAGACCAGUGAGAAGUUGAGUUCAGCAAACACUUCACAUUUAAUGGGAAAUCUAGAAGAAAUAUGUUCUUUCCAGCAGAUGCUCGUACAGUCUUUAGAAGAAUGCACUAAGGUGCCAGAAGCUCAGCAGAGAGUCGGAGGCUGCUUUCUAAACCUGAUGCCGCAGAUGAAGACCCUGUACCUUGCGUACUGUGCCAACCACCCGUCGGCAGUGAGCGUCCUCACGGAGCACAGUGAGGAGUUGGGAGAGUUCAUGGAGAUGAAGGGCGCCAGCAGCCCGGGCAUCCUCGUGCUGACCACCGGCCUCAGCAAGCCGUUCAUGCGUCUGGACAAGUACCCUGCGCUGCUCAAGGAGCUGGAGAGACACAUGGAGGAUUAUCAUCCAGAUAGACAAGACAUUCAGAAAUCUAUGACUGCCUUCAAAAACCUUUCCGCUCAGUGCCAGGAGGUGCGGAAGCGGAAAGAACUAGAGCUGCAGAUCCUGACGGAGGCCAUCCGGAGCUGGGAGGGGGACGACAUCAAGACCCUGGGCAGCGUCAUUUACAUGUCCCAGGUCCUGAUUCAGUGUGCCGGGAGCGAGGAAAAGAAUGAAAGAUACCUUCUACUCUUCCCAAAUAUUUUGCUAAUGUUGUCUGCCAGUCCUAGGAUGAGUGGUUUUAUAUAUCAGGGAAAGCUGCCAACGACAGGAAUGACGAUCACGAAGCUUGAGGACAGUGAAAAUCAUAGAAACGCGUUUGAAAUAGCAGGGAGCAUGAUUGAGCGGAUCUUGGUGUCCUGCAACAACCAGCAGGACCUCCACGAGUGGGUGGACCACCUGCAGAAGCAAACGAAGGUCACGUCUGUGGGAAACCCCACCAUCAAGCCUCACUCUGUGCCGUCUCAUACUCUCCCCUCCCACUCCAUCACCCCGUCCAGCAAGCACGCUGACAGCAAGCCAGUGCCGCUGACGCCCGCCUACCACACGCUGCCCCACCCCUCCCACCACGGCACCCCUCACACCACCAUCAACUGGGGGCCCCUGGAGCCUCCGAAGACCCCCAAGCCAUGGAGCCUGAGCUGCCUGCGACCCGCACCCCCACUCCGGCCCUCGGCAGCUCUCUGCUACAAGGAGGAUCUCAGUAAGAGCCCCAAGACCAUGAAGAAGCUACUCCCCAAGCGCAAACCUGAGCGGAAGCCUUCGGAUGAGGAGUUCGCCCUGAGGAAAAGCACGGCUGCGCUGGAGGAAGACGCCCAGAUUCUGAAAGUCAUCGAGGCUUACUGCACAAGCGCCAAAACACGGCAGACGCUCAAUUCAACAUGGCAAGGCACUGACCUGAUGCAUAAUCACGUCUUGGCUGACGACGACCAGUCAAGCCUAGACUCCCUGGGUCGUCGCAGCAGCCUUUCCCGCUUGGAGCCUUCAGACCCCUCGGAAGACUCUGACUAUGACAGUAUAUGGACAGCCCAUAGUUACAGGAUGGGUUCUGCAUCUCGGUGGCCGUGACCCUCUGCUCCCACCGCAUCUCCUGAGCCCAGCCCGUGUGUUCAGUGCUCUGCCCUUGUUUGCGCAGAGACGACUCUGGUGCGCUCGGCCCUCGUGUCCUGGGAGCUGGCCCCGCUGCUCACAGCCCCGAGGUGCCGGGACCCUCCCGUGCCGUUCAGACAGCCCGCGGUUCCAGGACCGCGCAGUGGAGGCGCUGGGAGAGCGGUUCCUCCAGAUGCCUAUCUGUUCCCAGUGGCUGCCAAGCUGCCCACUUCUGGGAGUUGCGUUUGCUUUUAAAGCAAUCCAUGUGACUAGGAAGCUGAGGAGCAGCCCUCUGAGUUAGAGCCCAGCACUAACCCCGCUGGAGAGGGGUCUGUCUGCGUCCAGCCAGAUCGCAGACGGAAUGGUGGGAGAAGUAACAGCAGAGUUCACGCACCUACCACCCUGCAGCGAGUGAGGCAGUUCUGGCUUCCUUCACACUGCGUCGGGCUGUCCACGACCGCUUUUCUGGCGCUUGUCGCUGACUCGUCUGCUUGGAGGCCGCGAUGCGCGCUGGCUUUCCUGCCGCCGCCGCUGCCGCCGCCCUCGGUCAGGCUGCUCGUCUGUGCCAGUGCCGUGUGGCCCACGGCAGCACAGCACCUGCCGCCCUGGGUUCCCUUGGAUGCUGGCUGUCAUUUAGGCUGUCCUGAUGAGACGUUUUCAUUGGUAUUCUUUACGCCAAAGGUGUGACAUUUUCCCAUGAUUCUUUUUUUGUACCAGUUAAAGCCCUUCUGAUACUGAUUUUUGUUGAACAGCCUGGCUGUUUGUCUGUUUGACACCGUGAGCUCUUGUGACCUGGUUGGCAGUAUUGGUGCCCCGGCUUGAAAAUGGCUCUCACGUGGCGGUGGUGACGCGGCAUCCGGAGGCCGGGGCUUCCCCACUGUGGGACUUGAGUUAUGCCGCAGUAGUAUCUUACGUGUAAGCAGCUCUGUAACUCCAUGUGCACAGUUAGCGUUACCACGGAAGGGUGAGGCAUCUGACCUGGGAGGUAGGUCUAAGCCGUUACCGGGCCCUUUGCAAACGGCCUCAGUGGUGUUUCCAUUGACUCAACACUUGCCACAAGUAUAUGCUAUAUUAAGUAUGUGUUUUGCCUAAAAUUGCCAAAACACAGUGACAUGUAUAUAGUGGUAUAAGACCUUGAAAAAAAUCUAUAUAUUGUGCUUUUUGUCUGUGAACAGGAAAGCCACUGUCAGUGGGUGACUACCGUUGGACACUCAGUUGGAUGUACCCCUGAAUGUUGCAUUGUAUUGUACAGUAUGCAUAUUGUUUGUGGUUGCAUAUGGCAAUGAAGUGUUUGUUUUAUAAAAAAGAUAUCUGUUAUGUACAGUUGAAAUAAAUUUUGCAUUUGCUAGCCUGUGGCUUUUACUGUUUGUUACACGGUGGGGGGAGCAGCCUAGCCCGCAGGUCAGUGCAAGCCCUCGCCUGUCUGAGGUGGCGCCUUCCACAGGGGGCCGGGCAGUAGAGCGCUUCGUAUCUGCCUGGACAGCAAAACUUGCAUGUUCUUAGGUUAAAUAUGUUCUGGAUGAUACAGGAUCAUUCCUUGUACGUUUUUAUUUCAUCUGUUUCCCUCUAAUUUUCUUAAAACAAGUUUUAAAUCACUGGGAGAUUUGUUUUCAGAAAGAGUUCUCUCCCUCUGGGCAGGGGUGGAGGGGGUAGGGAGGAAGCUGCAUAAAUGGAAAAAAGCCUAACCAUGAAAGUUCUUACUUAGACGAAGGUCAGGUUUUAAUUUUGUUUGGUGAAGUGCAUGUCCAGCUGACUAGGAACAGCAAGAUUGGAAGGAAGGAAAAGACGCACCUGCGGCAGGUGCGGGGCUGGGACCAGUGAUGCUCACAUGCACGUUGUCCUCUGAAGGGGUCCUCGUGUUCUGUUUUGUUUUAGGAAAAAUGAAUUUGAAUCUUAUGGCCAUAAAUAACAAAGUGGCCUUUCAGAGAGAUUUUAUUAAGUAGAUUUUUCUUAGUGUAAUACUUUGUUUCAUUCUGAAAGUUGCUUCAGUUGCCAUUGAGUAUAAUGAGAUGUAGACCUCAGGAAGGUUACCAACUGGAGAAGCCACGUGAGUCUGCAGACGCACCAGCCACCGGCCAGACAAGCAGAUGUUCUUUGCUGACAAACCUCCUGUUUUUAGGCUUUUUGUGCAGGCCAGCCAGCUCCCUCAGGCGUGUGCACACAGUGCUGCUGCCCGGAUCUGAGGGCCGCGUGUCGUCAGCUCAGGCGGGAGGUGGUGCUCUGGCAGCCCGGACCGCGCCCUGGGCCUGAGGCCUGCUGCUUGCUGCCUGGGCCAGUCCUCUGUCCACGGUGGAGAUGUUACGUCCCUCUGUGUUUCUCAGACUGAGGUCCACAGUUCUCCGGGGGGUCUGUGACUGCUUUAGGGGACAGGGUUCUAAGCGUGGCUCCAGCUUCUGGGUCCCACAUCUGAGCCAGCUCACGCCUGGGCACCUGCCCCGCCUCCAGCUGUGCGGUGCAGGGUGACCCCUGCUGGUGGCGGUGCAGAACUGCCACGUGCUUGUUGGGGAGCCGUGGCGGCUGGGUUGGUGGCAACGAGUAUUAUUAUUUCAUUAUGUUCUCCCCCACGCUGAACAGCAGCGGAGCCAAGCAGCAUUCAUGUGUGUUCACAGACACAGAUGGGGUUGUGGGCCAGUCUCGCACUCCCCAGUUAUCCAGAAUGCUGCGGAACGUUGAUAGAUUGGCACUCGGACACAUUUAGGAAAUGCCGAAGUUAGAUGGGUAUUUUUGCUGAAAGCCUCAAACAUGCUAGAUGUGCGCUGUGAAUCUCCAGGAGGUGGCUACAGCAUUCAGCAUUUUCAAAAUUACGUGUUGCAGACUCCCAGCUAUCGCUUGGAAACACACAACUCUGUGUUGAGGAAGCACAGGCCUGGAGUGAGCUGGAAGCUUCGUGAAUGCGCCCAUCUGGGUCUCUGCCCCUUUCGGAGGUUCUGAGGCAAGAGGCAGAACGGCCUUCGGUGGUGGUGCUGCCGAGGGGCUUCUCCGAGCCAAGCAACUCAGAGAAAAGUUCCGCGACACCUGGACAGAUACCAAAAUGGUCUUUGAGUUCUACUUUCUAAAGCUUCUGUUUUUAUAGAAACAGCCAACUUCUUUAUAAACCUGGCUGGAGAAUGUUCCUUUAGUGUUUACUGAAGACUGUCGGAUCUUUCCCAUCAUUUUAGAAAAGGACAUUGUGUUGAGACCAGGCAGGUAACUGGCACCCCAUGGGUUUCUGUGCAGGCUGAGCAGGAGUCUGUCUACAGCCCCCCGGCUCACCACCACAUCCAUCGGUGGCACUUUUCAGUACAUCCUGUCUGUGACAGAACCUUCUCGUGCUUGCCUCUCUGUGGUCCGCUGCCACUCUCUCCUGUGGCUUUGCGUGUGUUUGCAGACAUUAAGGGUGGCAUCUUGCACAUGCGGCUGGUGACCUGGUGUCACGGGUUUAGUGGCCUGACUCAGUCGCUACCUAAUGGAAUUUCAGGCUUUAUAUUUACGGUUUCGUUUGACAGAAGAGAUCUAUAAAAUGUUCAGUUUUCAGUUAGUCCUCAGAACAGCUCUGCAGAGGCAGCUGGUUUUGUUGUUCUGUCUUCCGGGUGAUGGAACUCAGGCUCCGUGCUUGGGUGACGGGCCGGCUCCUGCGUCCCGGGAGCUCCAGCACCUGCACAACGGCCCCUGCACCCCGACCCACUUCUUCCCUAAGUGGACGUGCCUUGUGAUUCUACUUUAUAUGUCAUUUGAAGAACUUACUGCUGCAAACACAGAAUGUAGAUGGGUUGCCUCAGGAGCUGGAAGAUGCAAAAUGAUUGAAAAGACACAGAAUUUAAUCUUCCUGAAGUGCUGUUGCAUCAAAACCAUUUCCAGCCUGUUGUCUCGUUAGCUAGUGCAUCGGGAGAAAUGCUGUAUCUCAGACAGUGCUGACGGAUGCGCACUGACAGCUCUCGAUUUGACCCUGACACGGCGGCUGUCUGGGUGGAAAGCUGGUGAUGGUGGGAACCCUCAGCCCUCGGGAAUGGAGUGGUCUCGAGCCAUCUGCCUGCGUCUCUUUCCGGGGGACUGAGCGAGCCUUUUGCUCUCUGCACACGUGGUACCCACAUCUGAAUCUUAGGAAUCCUUGUCAGUUCCUAAGGAAAAUAGCGCGAGCGACCUUCUCCUGAUAAAAACGUGGGUGAUGUUUGCAUUCGUGCUGGAAGGGGGACCAUCUGGACCUUCAGAGCUCUUGACCCGGCCAGGGCCUUGUGCUUCCUUGUGAUGUGUGUCAUGGACCAGUUUCUUUCUUAGGCAGUAUUUUCCCACGUGGCCCAGAUAUCCCGGCAGUGUUUCCUGUUUACUGAGAAAGGCCCAGAAUACAGCGAGCCUGCCAGCCGCGCCCAGAGGGACCUGGGAAAGGCGGUCCUCCGGGAGGUGAUUCUUGUCGGCCUGAUGGAGUCUUCUAGAACGUGUCCCUUUCUGGGCCCACGUCUUGCAGGGCAUCACCAUCUGUCUGAAGAGCCCUCCCCUGGCCUGCAGGUCACUGUGACGGGGUUGGGUGUGAGCUGGGCGUCCCCCUCCCCGCUGGCCACGGGGCCGCUGCUCCAGGAUCUGCAAUCUCCGUGUGAACCCCAGACCGCUAGCGGGGCCAUCUUUGAAGUAGCAGUUGACAGAUUUAAGGACAGAUCCACCUGCUCGGUACGGUCGUGACGGAAUUCUGAGGACUGCACUGGAUCUUCACCCUGAGGUUCUCAGGGCACGUCACAGCCCUUCCUUUGCUGGUGUAAGACGUCUGUUCAUGUGUCUGUGCAGAGGUUCGCCCUGUGCAACGUGGACUCGUACUUGCUCCCCGGAGCUCAGUCUUCUGAUGGGGCCUGGAUGACAGGAGGAGGCCAGCACCCGCCCUGCUGGGCUCCGCAGAGCGGGCCGGGGCGGGGGGGGGAGCUGGUGUCUGUCUGCAGACGCCCAGACAGCACCGGGGGGAGGACAGCUGGGGCCGGGAAGCCAGGGUCCCUGUCCCUGCGGCCUGCUGCCGCAGAGGUGACGGGCGCGUGCUCUCUGGACCCCGGUAGCGUUUUAUGAGCCUCUUGUCACUGGGCUUUGACUGUAACUGUCAGUCUUGUUCUGUCCAGGGGGGUAUAAGCUCCCAGUAAGACACUGGUGAGACCCUUAAGUCCUGUCUUAGCAUUUGUGCUACACCGAAUGUGUGUCCUCCCGUGAGGUGCCAUCCCGAACGGCAGGGACACCAGCAGAAACAAGGUCGAGCAGGCUGAAGCACCGUCUCCGUGAUUGGUGAGCACCUGCCAGACCUCAGGUGUGCUUUCAAGGGAGAAACGCUGCACUUGCGUCAGUGGCACAGCAGGCGUCUGCUGGAGUAGUCCCUCCUCAAAGGUGCAUCUGAUGUGAUGUUUCAGAAAUGUAAAUGGGACGCUUGUGCCAUACGACCUUUUAAAAAGAGUAUUUUCUUCUUUGCAUCCUUAAUCUUAUUUAAAUCUUAUUUAAUUAAUUUUAUUGAAAAUAAAUUUAAAUCUUAACCUUAUUUAAAUCUUAUUUAGGAUUGUAUUCUCGUUUCUCACAUUUUAAAAUGGGUUGAGUUUCCCAGUUAAUGUCUGCCUUUUGCAUGUUUCUGGGCCCCUGUCCUGGGUAAGCUUUUAUGCCGGGUGUUGGUUAAAUGACAGAAACAUUCCUCUGACACUGUAAACAGCUUAUUUUCCUCCCUUUGGGAAAAAAAAAAAAAAGUUUAUAUUCCAGGGAAUGUAGAAUAAAGUUUCCAUAAGAGAACCAAGUAAUGAACUUCACUUUCUCUAAACUGUGUCCUGUACCAUCGUUAGCUGUGGCCGUGGAGUUAAAUGUUUUAAGUGCUGGUUCACUGGCUCGAUAAACGCCUGGGGUAGGUGUCCUGUGUGGUCUGCUGGAUGUUUCUGAAAUUCCUGGAAUAAUAUGGCUCAAAAUUUGGUUGAUUUGAAUAUUUAUCCCCACCCCCACCAAUUUGAAUAUUUCCUUCAAAAUAGCCAGGGUGAUGUGGUGAGAAUUUUCAACUUACUACCUGGUUAAAAUUUCAGGGAUAAAAGUACCCACAAUGCAGAUUCGGAAACUGAAGCUUAAUAAAUUGCAAGAAAGGCUAAUGUCUCCUUUCCUGUGUGAUGCUUUAGGCGUGAAGAAGACUGGGCUCGGUACACAGAGGUAGAGAAAAUUGGUUCACGCAAAGAGUCAGCACCACAGGUUCUGCUUCCCGAGGAAGAGAAGAUCAUAGUGGAGGAGACGAGGAGUAAUGGGCAGACGGUGAUAGAAGAAAAGAGCCUCGUUGACACUGUGUACGCGCUGAAGGACGAGGUCCAGGAGUUAAGGCAGG